AGCCCGGGCCCGCCCCCUGGCCAGCCACAGCCCGCAGCCCUCUGGCCACUAGGCAGAGGCCCGGAAAGCAGAGCUAAAGGGAAUCGGAAACACAGCCGGAGGGAAAGGGAGCUGAGGCGCAGCAGGAGGCAGCUGGAUUCUUCUCUUAUCUGAUGAAAGUGGAUUCCAGGCAGUUCAUCCACGUGUUUACUGCUCCUAUGCGAUUCGCCUAGAAAUGUCGGUUAAGGCUCAUCUGCUGCAGGAACAGGCAUCCGAAUGAUAAUCACGUGAACAGUGUGAACCAGCCCCACAAAAACAUCCUUGUAUCCACUGGUUGUGAUUACAGACAUGUGCAGAAUGCCCAUCAGAGAAAGAGUAAGAAUGAGGAGUACGUCAUGUCCAGAAAGAGGGUCAGCAGGGAGCAGUGCCUCGGGAGGAUCUCAUAUUAAAACCUGGAAUUGUAGUCUCUACAGAAAAGUUGGAAGAUCUGGCAACAUUGGGCCCAUGGUUCCUCAGGAGGCCUCUUCUUUGUGGUAAGUAGCAAUGACUCCCUCCAGACAGGAGCCACAUUCUCCACCAAUCAGUGCUUCUCAUUUACAUUUUUGUGCCUGGUCCUGGCAGACAUCUUCGUGGAUGCUUUUUUUCUUAGUCUUCAUUAUUAUUAUUAUUAUUUGAGAUGGAGUCUCCCUGUGUCACCCAGACUGGAGUGUAAUGGUGCAAUCUUGCCUCACUGCAACCUCUGCCUCCCAGGAUCAAGUGAUUCUCCUGCCUCAGCCUCCCAAGUAGCUGGGACUAUAGGCGUGCACCACCACACCUGGCUAAUUUUUGUAUUUUUAGUAGAGACAAGGUUUUCCCAUGUUGGCCAGGCUGGUCUCGAACUCCUGGUCCACCCACCUUGGCCUCCCAAAGUGCUGGGUUUUCAGGCAUGAACCACCAUGCCCAGUCUAUUUAUUUAUUUUUUAGAAAGCAGAUCUUGCUCUGUUGCCCACCUAGAGUGCAGUGGUGCCAUGGUAGCUCACCUGCAGCCUUGAACUCCCAGGCUCAAGUGAUCCUCCUGCCUUAGCCUCCUGUGUAGCUGAAACCACAGGCACAUGCCACCAUGCCCAGCUAAUUUUAUUUUAUUUUUUUUAGAGAUAGAGGUCUCACUAUGUUGCCCAGGCUUGUCUCAAACUCCUGGGCUCAAGUAAUCCUCUCGCCUAAGCCUCCCAAAGGUUUAGGAUUGGGAUUACAGGUAGGAGCCACCUUACCCCACCUUAGAAAGCUUUUAAUUCGCUAAUUCUCAACUUGAGGGAUGAUGGAAGGAUAUUCUCUUAAAGAUUUUUCAAAUUACUUUUGUAUACUGAAAAGACUCUAACACAACUCCUUCUUACCAUCCUUCCUCCCACCCUCUCCCCACGCACAAUGAAAAUCACUUUCAGAAGCCCAAACCCCACUCCUGCCACAGUCAGUACUGAAGUAUGGAACUUCCACCCACAAAGUUUCCCUGAUCCUGCAGGAAAAUGUGUAGACGCUGACUCUCAUUUCACACAACAGCAUUCACACCCCCUCCUCUCCAACCAUCACUAGAGUUUGUAACCUAGCAACACAGCAUCCAUUGGGGUAGCAACCUCUCGCCAAUUCAUUCAUCCCUUCAGUAGACAUUGAGUGAGCUGCUCCCACGCCUGGGAUAGGCAAGCACUCAGAAAAGAUUUGUUGAAUGAAUGAAUGAAGACACAGGGAUGAAUGAGGCCCCAAAGGAGGUCAUACUCUGGAAAGGAGAAAAACAGACUAAAGGCCGGGCGUGGUGGCUCACGCCUGUAAUCCCAGCACUUUGGGAGGCCAAGGCA